ensembl:piRNA 21ur-5786 ncRNA
UCUUUCUUUGGCCUUGGGAAG